ACACUGGGCCAGUUGUUCUCAGGAGAGUCUGUAAGCCUGGCGCAGGUAACCUCAUGCACACGACUGUCCAGGUGACUAAUUUAGUAAAACCAAUGAGGCGGGCGCUGAGCAGCACCUCUCCCCACGCCGGCCCGCGCCACACUGCCCGCCGCGCCUCUUGACUAG